UCACAGUGCAAGUCUUUCACAAUUGCUAAGGUGAGUUAUCCUUGAGUUCUUAGGGCCAAAGCCUCUGUUCUGAAUAGUGCUCUAGUUUUACCUCCUUUAAACAUUAUGCAGAUUAAUAUUUGAGGAGAAAAAGAUUUUGGUGACAUUUCUGACAGGGACUUCCUCCUGUAAUAUGUUAUAUCAUAGAAUCAUAGAAUGUGCUGAACUGGAGUGGAUCCACCAGGAUCAUCAAGUCCAACUUUUGGCCCUGCACAGGACAUUCCAAGAGUCACACCAUGUGCCUGAGAGCAUUGUACAAAUGCUUCUUGAACUCUGUCAGGCUGGUGCUGUGACUACUUCCCUGGGGAGCCUGUUCCACUGCCCAACCACCCUCUGAGUGAAGAACAUUUUUCUAACACUCAACCUAAAUCUCCCCUGACACAACUUUGGGCCAUUGCCUCCAAUCCUGUCACUGGUCACCACAGAGAAGAGAUCAGUGCCUGCCCCUCCUCUUCACCUCACAAGGAAGUUGUAACUGCAAUGAGAUCUCCCUUCAGUCUCCUCCAGGCUGAACAGACCAAGUGACCUCAGCUGAUCCUCAUACAGCUUCCCCUCAAGGCCCUUCACCAUUUUUGUUGCCCUCUUUUGGAUGUUCCUAAGAGUUUAAUGUCUUUCUCAUAUUGUGGUACCCAGAACUGCCCCCAGCACUCGAGGUGAGCCCACCCCAGCUCAGAGCAGAGCAGGACAAUCCCCUUCCUUGCCCGGUGUGAUGCUGUGCCUGAUGCACCCCAGGACACACCUGGGUCCUUCUGGCUGCCAGGGCACUGCUGGCUCAUGUUCAACUUGCCAUCAACCAGGAUCCCCAGGUCUUUCUGUAGCCCUGCUUUCCAACAUCUGAUUCCCCAGUCUGUCCGCCCAUCCAGGAUAGCUCCAUCCCAGGUGCAGAAUCCAACACUUGACCUUGUUAAAAUUCAUACAGUUGCUGAUUGUCCAUCUCUCUAAUUUUUUAGGUCUCAAUGUGGAGCCUCUCUGCCCUUGGACGAGUUUCUCCCAGUUUAGUUCGGUUCAACCUUUCUUAGUGUUUCUGCACAUCCUUCACACCUUCAGUUCAAUUCACAGUAUAGUUUUGCUUUGCAUUUUAUGUCCACAUUCUGCUGCACAACAGAUCCCAGUUAGCUCAAUACAUGUACUUCCCCUGUCCAGCUCAUAGGGUCAAAGGCUCUACAGGCAAUAUGAGGACCUGGAUUUACCUUUCUGUCCCUGCUCCCUUGUAUGCUUUACAUCACUACACCUGAAUACAAAAACCUUCCCUGAUUUCACUUAUUUUGACCCCGUUUCUGAGAUAGAGUUGUGUUGUCAAGUACCCCUCCCUCACAAGGACAGUCAGAGCACUUGGAAAAACAAAGGGAUGGAACAAAGGGCUCAUCUAUUCCAAGUGAGUAGCCCUAGAGCACAGCUGGUAACGUUGCCACAGUGAAUAGUGCUGUGAUUCAGCUCCCUUAUCCUCUGCGACCCGCGAAAUGGAGUCACACUGGAAGUGCCGUCAGUCUGAGCGUCAGGCACUGCCAGAGCAGGUUUGCUGCUCUCAGCCAGCGCAAGUGUGCCCAGCCUGUACAGGGCUCUUGCAAACAAGGUGCACCUGUGCUGAGCUGCUUCUCCCCUCUCCUCCAUCACCAAGCAGAAAAUAUCUGACCCUCGUCCUGACCUUCUGAACAGUUACUCUAUGUCAGUUAUUCCUGGGGUACUUUUAUUUUUAUAUAUAUUUUUUAAUAUAUAUAUGUAAACCCUGGACCCAAAUCAAGAUAAAUCAAAGAUGAAACAGACUCUGUUCUGGUAUUCUUUUGGCCAUAAUACCCAUGAGGUUUCCAGACCUGGGGCAUAACUACACAGACAUCUUCUGCAGGAAUUGGGGUAGAAAUAAGAUCUUUAUCUAGGGCCAUUUUUGCUCUCCCUUCUGUACUGGCAGUAAUACAUUUAAAGGUUCCUGCCCACUGGAAGUGACCUGAAGAGUCCAAGUAUUUUGUGACAUGAAUUUCAUGGGCAGAUGAUGUGAUCCAUCCAUUGCUAGCUGGAGCUAUCUGCAAUUCUUGCACCAGCCCUCAAAAAGUCACAGCUGGAUGCUGCCCAUAAUACUCAUGCUAAAUUUUUUAUUGGAAGAAGCAUAAAUGUAACUAGACCAACCAGGGUUCAAGUGGUGAGGAUCCACCAUGGUGAAGGUGGCAAAGGAGGAGGCAGAAACCCCCUUCAGUACAGCUACUGACUGUGCUCCUGGAAGAGUUUACAGGUUCUUUGGAAGGAAAAGAACCAGAAGUUAUUGCAUCCUCCUAAAGAAGGAGUUCCAGUUUAUUCUGUUUGUUUCUCUUGAAAUCUUCUUUUAACAGAGAAGAACAUUAAUUCCUUCCAGUAAACAAAGCCAAAGAAGGAUGGAUGAGAAGUCAGGCAUUGCCUGCCAUUUGAAAGAUGACCAGAAAAUUCUUUAUAGCUCUUUGUCCUACAUUACUUCAUAUGCCUUGAGCAGCUAUUCUGUUAAAUGUGCCUUUCCAGCUUCCUAGUGUUUUCCCAAGUGAUUUGAAAUACAUGUGGAUUGUACUCAAGGGGUCCUGUCAGUGACACCAUCAAAGGCCAGACUCCUUUUAAAUGUAAAAUUGCUGGUAGGAGGGAGAGCACUCAGAAAUGUUCAUGUAUUCCCUACAUCCUCAGCUAGUAAGCACAGGUUGUAACUGCAGAGCUAUACUUAAUUUCAUAUGUUUUGGGGGAGUUUUGUGCAAUGCACCAGCUGGAAUGAGAGAGGAAAAUUGUCCUUAAAAAGUAAAUCGAAGCGUGUGUUUAGCUUAAUGACCACAAAGAAUCAUGCUGCAGCCUUUGUGUGGCUUCAAGUUAUGAUUUGCUGGAUCAAAGCAAUUCUGGCAGCCAUCUCCUCUUAGAACUAGAUGUAUGAAUCUGAGAGUGAAGAGUCCUGGUUUAUAACAAGGUCAUCUCAUUUCUGUCACUGAAAUUAAUUUCAAUAGAUUCUCUCUUCAGGACACUUUGUCAAGUGAUCUGAGAUUUUGCCACAUGACGUGUAAGAGCUCUAAUGUAAUGGAGAAAUUGAAGCAGCAUUUUGAUUUCCCAGUACAACAUCCCUUUGUCCUCUAAUGCCGAUGCUCUUAAACAAAUGAGGAAAGCUUAAGAAUAGUCAUUUACUCAUGAAAGUAAGCAGCUGGCAUAUCCAGCUUAAACUGACGUGAGCAAAGCACAGAAGGUUUAUUAAACAUUUAGCCAGAUUUUUCUCUACAUAAGCAGAAACUAGUAAAAGGCCAGGACCUCCCUGUUUCAAAUAAAAAAAUAUCUUCAAAGGAUCCUUAGGAACAUCCUUAACUUUUUACAGAGGCUAGUUUUAAGGGCAAAAGAAAUCUCUUCUAAACAGACCCCCCUGCCACUGUGCUUUGCUUCCAGCUCCACAGACGUGUCCUGCCCCUGGUUCCCUCAUAGCCUGCCAAAGCAGGAAUACCAUUGCUCAGUAGUUUACAACACUGGCAAAGUUUAGUCAACAUCUGUAAUGCAAAGAGAUUAUCCUCUGUGACUCAAACAACUGGUCAAAAUGUAAUACUUUGUAGUAAAUUAUUUAAACAAGAUUAAAUUUUUUACUCUGGAAGAGAAGCAUUUAGGUAUCUUUGAUGGAAUCCACCCUCUUGUAAGAAAACGUGAAGUCUUAGCUUCUCCAUCUAAGAAGGAAAGAUGCAAUAGGAGACUGCUUCUUAUUUCACAGCUCCUUGACCAGAGACAACUCUUUGUCUACAGGCUACCUAUGGAAAAUAUACAUUUUUUCCCUUCCCAUUUUUUUACUUCUCUAAAUGAAUCAUCUGCUGGUGCCUAAGGAUAAAUCUAUCCAAUUCCUUGUGCUGGGGUAGAAAUGGAGGGAGAAUAUUGGGCAGUGUAAGGAAGAAGAAAGAAAAGCAAAGUUAAUACAGACCAACUUGCAAAGAUGUUGCUGAUCUAGCCAAAGGGAGCAAAUUCAGAGAAUCAGCUGCAAGAAAAUUAAUUGAGCUGAGACAGACAACUCCUUCUGCACUCUCUUUUUGUCACUCUCUAUCAGUAAGGCAAACAUCCAUAAAAGGGACUCAUAUAAUUAAAUCUCAGUUGCCAGGAAAUACCUUACCCUCCUUUCAUAUAUCCAUUCCUUCCUUCCUGAGCAACUUAACACUUUAAAUCACUUAAAAGGAAGCUUCACCUUUUCAGAGACAAAUGUAGUUAACAUCCCCACCCCAAAAAAAGACAACAAAAUCCUAUUCAUUUUAUCAGCACUAGUUAUAAAGCAUGUUUUUUACUUAAAUAAAAAUAACUUUAACUUAAUGUAAAGGGACCCAAUUAUUUCAGAAAGUGGAAAGUGACCUUAUGGAAAUCGGUAAGAGUUAAUGUCAACUCCAGCACGAUCCUGUGUCAUUCUGAAGACAAGAUGUCUUCUCCAGAUUGCUCCAAAUGACUCAGCACUGGGUAUUGCACUGAAGGAUGGCACCGGCAUUGCCUCAGAGCUCUGCAUACCCUCAGGGAGAAACUGAAAAGGAUAAGAAUCACAGAAUGGGGUGCUUUGGAAGGGACCUUUAAAAUUCAGCUAGUCUAAGUCCCUGGCAAUGAUCAGGGUCAUCUUCAACUUGAUCGGGCAGGUCAAAGUCCAGCCUGACCUUAAGCUUUUCCAGGGAUGAGGCCUGUUGCCCAGUUUCUCUGGGCAACCUGUGCCAGUGUUUCACUAUCCUCAUCAUAAAGAAUUUCUCCCUUGUGUCUGAAUUGACUCAGUUGGAAGCCAUUCCCCCUUGUCCUAUCAUUUCAUGCCUUAUGAAAAAUCCCUCUCCUGCUUUCUUGUUGUCCCACUUUAGGUACUGGAAGGCUUCUAUAAGGUCGCUGUGGAGUCUUCUCUUCUCCAGGCUGAGCCACAAACCUCUCAGCCUUUCCUCACAGGAAAGGUUUUCCAUUCCUUUGAUCAUCUUUGUGUCCCUCCUCAAAACAUUUUCCUGUCCUUCCUGUGCUGGGGUGCCCAGAGCUGGAUGCAGCCCUGCAGGUGGGGUCUCACCAGAGCAGAGCAGAAGGGCAGAAUCCCCUCCCUGGCUCUGCUAGCCACGCUGUUUUGGAUGCAGCUGGGACACACUUUGGAUGCAGUUUGGCUUUCUGGGCUGUGAAUACACAUUGCCAGGUCAUGUCCAUCUUUACAUUCAUCAAAGUUUCUCAGUUUGCAGUUAGAGUUUUGAUUUUGUCUAUUAUUGUAACUGAUCCCUCUGCUCAAAGCUGAUCAAAAAGGAAUCUUAUUUUCACAUGGUUACAUGCGGGGCAGCUUUGGCUAUUUGGUAACUUUAUUGCCAGGAUAUUUGAAGGCUCAGAACAUGAUCUACAAACACACAGGCUUUUCCUAAAGAAUGCCUAAUUUUAUUUAUAUAUUGUAUCUUAAAAUCUUUCAAUAUUACUUGCAAAUUCCAGCCUGUGUUCAUGAUCUACAAUAAAAACAGCUGCUUUAUGUUGUACUACAUGAGAUUUGAAAGAGGCAU
ensembl:lncRNA